AUACGGAGGAUCCGAGCGUUAUCCGGAUUUAUUGGGUUUAAAGGGAGCGUAGGCGGAUUAUUAAGUCAGUUGUGAAAGUUUGCGGCUCAACCGUAAAAUUGCAGUUGAUACUGGUAGUCUUGAGUGCAGCAGAGGUAGGCGGAAUUCGUGGUGUAGCGGUGAAAUGCUUAGAUAUCACGAAGAACUCCGAUUGCGAAGGCAGCUUACUGGACUGUAACUGACGCUGAUGCUCGAAAGUGUGGGUAUCAAACAGGAUUAGAUACCCUGGUAGUCCACACAGUAAACGAUGAAUACUCGCUGUUUGCGAUAUACAGCAAGCGGCCAAGCGAAAGCAUUAAGUAUUCCACCUGGGGAGUACGCCGGCAACGGUGAAACUCAAAGGAAUUGACGGGG
rnacentral:rRNA from 1 species